rnacentral:rRNA from 1 species
AAUUUUCGGCAAUGGGGGGAACCCUGACCGAGCAAUGCCGCGUGAACUAUGAAGGUCUUCGGAUCGUAAGGUUCUGUUAUCAGGAAAGAAUAGCAUAACUAGGAAAUGAGUUAUGUGCGACGGUACCUGAUGAGAAAGCCCCGGCUAACUAUGUGCCAGCAGCCGCGGUAAUACGUAGGGGGCAAGCGUUGUCCGGAAUUAUUGGGCGUAAAGGGUGCGUAGGCGGCUUUUUAAGUCAGAUGUGAAAGCCCACGGCUCAACCGUGGGAUUGCAUUUGAAACUGGAGGGCUUGAGUAUCGGAGAGGGUAGUGGAAUUCCCAGUGUAGCGGUGAAAUGCGUAGAUAUUGGGAGGAACACCAGUGGCGAAGGCGACUACCUGGACGAUUACUGACGCUGAUGCACGAAAGCUAGGGGAGCAAACA